GUGGGUGUAUAUCAGCCUGGUUAGAUAGCCAGUCUCAUAAGCUGGAUGUCGGGAGUUCAAAUCUCCCCACCCACA
rnacentral:tRNA from 1 species